UACGAAGGGGGCUAGCGUUGUUCGGAAUUACUGGGCGUAAAGCGUGUGUAGGCGGGUCUUUAAGUCAGGGGUGAAAUGCCAAGGCUCAACCUUGGAACUGCCUUUGAUACUGGAGACGUUGAGUCCGGGAGAGGUGGAGUGGAAUUGCGAGUGUAGAGGUGAAAUUCGUAGAUAUUCGCAAGAACACCAGUGGCGAAAGG
rnacentral:rRNA from 1 species